UGGGGAAUAUUGGACAAUGGGGGCAACCCUGAUCCAGCGAUGCCGCGUGAGUGAAGAAGGCCUUCGGGUUGUAAAGCUCUUUUGGCAGGGAAGAUAAUGACGGUACCUGCAGAAUAAGCCCCGGCAAACUUCGUGCCAGCAGCCGCGGUAAUACGAAGGGGGCUAGCGUUGUUCGGAAUUACUGGGCGUAAAGGGAGCGUAGGCGGCUCUAUAAGUUGGAUGUGAAAGCCCCGAGCUUAACUUGGGAAUAGCACUCAAUACUGUAGAGCUAGAGAGUGAUAGAGGAUGAUGGAAUUCCUAGUGUAGAGGUGAAAUUCGUAGAUAUUAGGAGGAACACCAGUGGCGAAGGCGGUCAUCUGGGUCACUACUGACGCUAAGGCUCGAAAGCGUGGGGAGCGAAACAGGAUUAGAUACCCUUGUAGUCCCUGAGCGGGCUGGCAAGGCGCAU
rnacentral:rRNA from 1 species